UGCGGUUAAACAAAUGAUACUACUAUUUUUAUUUGGUUUUAGUUUUAGUUAAUAAGAAUUAAAUUUUAUUUAAUUAAAUAUUGGGUGAAAUCCUAUUUAAAUUUUAACUAAAUUUUUGAUUAUGAGGCUAAGAAAUCUAGUUUUUAAACUGGGAUUAGAUACCCCAUUAUUCUAGAUGUUGAUAAUUAAACCUGAUAAAUAUUAGUUAUGUUCUUUAAAAUCAAAAAAUUUGGCGGUUUUUUAUUCCGAUCAGGGGAAUCUGUCCUGUAAUCGAUAAUCCACGAUUAAUAUAACUUUUGUUUUGCUUGUAUAUCGUCGUUGUUAAUUAUUUUUAGAAAUAUAUAAUUAUAAUGUAAUAUUAUAUAGAAUAUCAGAUCAAGGUGCCGCUAUAUAGAAGUAGAGAUGGAUUACAUUAAAUUUAUUUGAGAAUAAAUUUUAGCAUUAUUAUUUGGAAUUUGGAUUUGAAUGUAAUUUUAAUUAUUAAUUAAAAUGAAUUAGGCUCUAGAAUGUGU
rnacentral:rRNA from 1 species